AUCAGUUUACUACCAGACUUUUCAAUAUCCUCUCCAUGUGAAUAUGUAAAUAUGUAGGUCCAUCAGAGAUGUUCACAAGUCAUUUUUUGGAAGUCCAAGUUGAGUGAGUUCGAGUCCAAUUCAAGUCUCAAGUCUCUGGCCAUCUGAUCUGUCCCUAACACUGUAAUGGAGCUCAGUGUAAAUUCUUGCAGGAAGACUUCUAAACUUAAUCACAUUCUCUCUCUUCUAAAACUGAACAGCUGUUAGAGGCACUCACUUUUAUCUAACCAAUCAGAAGCGGCCUUGAAUUUCACAAGCCAAUCACAGCACGACACCCCUGUUUUAAACCUGUCUCUCUCUGCUGCUCAGUUGUCAUUUCAGGCUAAGAACACAACCCUCCUCCUCCUCUUGCUCCUCCGGUCUUCAUCCUGCACGGCUCCUGGUUCCUCCUCCGACCAGACUGCCGUCGGCUCCUCUGUUCGAUAUUCGGGUUCCUCACACCGCCAUCAGUGUCUAGACUCCAUCGGGGGAUCAGCUUCUGGCCUUCUGACCCCCUAAUUAUAUAUCAUUUAAUAAUGGAGUCUAAUCUCCAAAGACUGUACAUGUCAUAUCAUGCAUUCGUACAAUAAAUCUUUGCAUAUCUGCAA